rfam:Zea mays cultivar B73 chromosome 7, whole genome shotgun sequence.
ACUAUAGUAUUGACCUCAAUCCACAUGUAUUGAGGUGGAUUGAUGUGACACCUCAAUCCACCUCAAUACAUGUGGAUUGAGGUCAAUACUAUA